AUGUCAGAAGGACACCUGUUGGUUAAUUGCUUGUAUCUUUUCCAAGCUUCAUAGAGGGAUUCACCUUCUUUCUGUCUGACGGUUUAGACAUCCAUUCUGAGCUU